AAUUUAUUUUAAUUUUAUUUUCAGCCAGCAGGGGGACCACCUGUCAUUACAGGCAGCCCCCCUGCUGGCAAUACAGAAGCUAGCUAUCCCCGGCCAUGUGAUUGUGGGGUCCUCGCUAGGACCCCACUCUCACACGGCCGGGGGGCUUCCUGGAGGACGGACGUGCCGCGGGGGGCUCCCUGGGAGUCCCCCCCACCACGAUCGCCGGCGGUCCCACGG